AACGGCUCACCAAGGCUACGAUCGGUAGCUGUCUGAGAGGAUGAUCAGCCACAUUGGGACUGAGACACGGCCCAAACUCCUACGGGAGGCAGCAGUGGGGAAUAUUGCCGGCGCAAGCCUGAUCCAGCCAUGCCGCGUGAGUGAUGAAGGCCUUGGGUUGUAAAGCUCUUUUGUCCGGGAAGAUAACCGGAAGAAUAAGCCCCGACUUCGUGCCAGCAGCCGCG
rnacentral:rRNA from 1 species